ensembl:lncRNA
GUUCUGACUCAGGCAAUAAACAUUUGGUAAGAAGCUAGCUAUAGUUCAGUUUGGAACAACACAGGCCAUGAAUGACCAAGGAGUUUUUAAGGAGGUUGUAUCAAACUAGAAGACAGUCUUGAAGUUACCAACAGAUGCUUGUUGUGCAUACGUAUUCAAGAGUAUAUUCUCAUCUUCUUAUGAAGUCAUGCACUGGAGGACUCAGAACUGAACACUAUUCCUGUAGCAGUCUUAACAAUGUUGAGGGCAAGAGCAUACUGCUCACUCAUGUUCAGCUAGUGCGUACCAAAACUCCCAGGUCUUUUUCUGCAGAGCUGCUUUCCGGUGAGGUGGCCUCCAGCAUGCUUUUGUGCCCCCUGGGGUUGAUCUUCUCCAAGUGGGAGAGUAGUGCAACUAAAAUUUCUCUGAAAACUGUUGAAGUUAUAGUAGGAUGAAUAGAUCACCGAACAGUAGACAAGAAGUUAAUCUUUAUAGUGACAAUAAUUCUGAAGUACUUCUGCUACAUCAGAAGCAUGAAUCCUGCUACAACAGGUUUCAGUUAUUUCAGCUAAAGGAAUCUUAAGAAGGAACCUAUUUUGAAGAGUACUAUGUGCCAUGCAUAUGUAAAGCAUAGGAAUGGUAUAUUUUCAAGGAAGAGAAAGAAGAAAGAAGUGAAAACUGUGGAACUGAAUGAAUUAAAGCUGAGGAAUCCAUCAUACAAAUUCUGUUUUUUCUGGUUUUAUUUCUGAGAAAUGUCAUUUUUAUAUUUAAUGAGCCUCAAUGGAUUUUCUGCAUCAGUAUGACUCCAUUUGAAGUUAAUGUUGAUAUCAUCGUACAGAAUUACACAUUGCACUACAAAAUAUUAGAAAAAAAAAUAGAAAAUCUACCUUUCUUUUUUAUGCACUUUUUUUUUUUUUUUCCAACUACUAGCUCCUUCUGCUGAAUGACAAUGUGAAUAAUUGAUCCUUGUUUACUUCCUGUUUGCCAGGGAUAAUAUUUGAGAUCUCUCUCUAAUUUUCCUUUGGUUAUUUCUUUUCCAGGCUGAGUUUAGAAGCUAAUUUUGUCAUGACUCAUACAAAAACGAUUACAAGUUCUGAUUAUUGCUCACUCUUGAAAGAAUUCCAGGUUCAGUCUUUUGAGAUGAGAGAAUGAAAGCUACACUCAGCAUUCAAGACAAAGACAGAGCUUGAUUUUACAUAAUAUUUCUCAUUUUCAUUCUUUCCUUUCCUAAAAUUCCAUCU